rnacentral:lncRNA from 12 species
GGGUUCUCUGGAAAUGGGGGAUCACUCCACCCACACUGGGAACAUCCGUGUGUGUCCAGUUCAUUGUCCCCAGGCUGUUGGCACAUGAUCAGUGGCCAUGCAAUGCCAUCUCUGACUGGUACAGAUCUCCAAUGCAGCCUGGAGCUCUCCUUGGCCAAAGUUCCCAAAUUAGGACUGUGCAGACACUUCCUGAAUUCCUCUCCAAGGUGAUUAGGAACUUUGGUGAUUAGGAACAUUGGUCAGCACACCAAUGACGUCACAGCACUUGUCCAUCUGGUCAAGAAUCCCCCACGGGGACACUCUGCUCUCUCAUUCACGGGGCACAAAGCAACAAAACUCCAGAGGAAAAUCUUCCCCCAUGGGCCUUGUGGCUCUUUGGGCAAGUUCCAGAGCAAACAGUCAAGGCAGUGGCCGGAAAUGUUUUCCCAGCUGGCCCACAAUACAUCUCUGAUGGAUCCACAGCAGAGAGAAAGCAGAAACCUUCACUAAUGUCCUGGAAUGUCAAACAGGAAUCACAGCCAUGGACAGCUCUCAGGAACCACUUCUCAGGGGAUUUUCAUUUCUUGGAUGCCCAAGAUGUCUGAAUGUCUUCCUGGUGCCUCAGGCUCUGGCCUCAGCCAGUGCUGCCCAGAGGGAGAGGAAGAUGAAGGUGGCUGUGCUCAGCGUGGCCCUGCUCUUUUCCAUCCUGCUGUGCCCCCCGGCACAGGCCAAGGCACUCCUGGAAGGAACCCAAGAUGAUCUGCAGAAGAUUGAUUUAGACAAUGUCGUGAACCUGGAGACGCCUCUGGUGGGUACCACGAGUUCUGCCCGUGUCAGACCCUCCCCUUGCACGGCCAGCACACCCCAGACCAUCCCAGUUUGUACCAGCACAGCCCAGUGCACCCCUUCUGACACCCCAGACAACUCCCCUGCCCCACAGAUCCUCCCCAGAGAGCCCCUUUCCCAGGCCCCCAUUGCCUUCCCAUCCCUGUCCCCCCAGCACCCCCCUGGGUGACCCAGGGUGCAGCCCCUGCCCCAGCUGUGCCUCUUGGUCAGGCCCCCAGAGCUUCUGGGGAGGAGCACAGCAGCUCCUGCCCCCCAUUGCUCCCUGCAGGCCCCUUCCCCAAGGACCCCCGUGCUUUCCCCCACCUCCCAGUACAGCCCAGUGUCCCCAGUGUGUCUCUAAUGCUCUGUUUGUCCCCAGCCCCCAGUUCUUGAAAAGCUGGAGGCUGUUCUGCGGCAGAAGCGCCUGGCUGCCUCUCUGGGUGCCUAGGUGAGCCAUGCCUGCAGGGACAGGGGUGGGGACAGGGCCCCUCUCCUAUCCCAGUGGGCACCAGAGGUCACCUUCUGGGCUUUGAUUUUUAGGAUUGCAAGUUGUGGGGACACCGGUGUCCUGAUCCCCUCUGGCGGCGUGAGGAGAUGAUCACCCCUGGAGGAACCACCUGAACCCUUUGAGCCCUGGGCCAUUUCCCCUGAAUAAUCAAUAAACCCUUUGAGCAAAGCUUUGCUCUGCGUCCGUGUUCAUUUUACAAACAAAAAUCCCCCAAAUCUCCAAGAGGUUUCCCCCAGAGGUGUUGUCUUGUUCCUGUGUCCAUCUGCACAUCCCGUCGCUCUAUCCCUGGCACCUCCACACAUCUCUGACCCUGCUGGCACCUCCCACAUUGGCACUGAACUUCUCACUCCCGCUCCCCAGCAACAUGAAUGACCAUGGUGAGGAGCUCAGACCAGGAGCACCCAGGCCAGAGGUGAAUAAGGAGCACCUGGCAGAGGCAGGGAGAAUCCUCCAUUCCAGGGGGUUGUGGGGUGCAAGGGGGACACCUGUGUCCCCUCCCAUCCCCAGGGCUACAAACCAGGGAGGCGAUGCCUCUGCUGCCUCAGCUCUAUCACUUCCCUCAGGACAAGGGUCCUGCUGCAGCACAACCUCUAGAGUGGACUUCCACAAGGAAGACAGAAGAAAGGAAUUGUUUCUUCCCUCAUCCCUCACCAGUGUGCUGAUUCUCUUGUCAUCUCUUAUCAAAACCAAGAGAAAAGCAUCUGCAAAGAGGUGUUUCAGAGAGUCA